rnacentral:rRNA from 1 species
GAUGAACGCUAGCGACAGGCCUAACACAUGCAAGUCGAGGGGCAGCACAUGAGUAGCAAUACGAUGGUGGCGACCGGCGCACGGGUGAGUAACACGUAUGCAACCUACCUGUAAGAGGGGAAUAACCCGGAGAAAUUCGGACUAACACCGCAUAAUACCUCGAAGCUGCAUGGCUUUGAGGUUAAAUAUUUAUAGCUUACAGAUGGGCAUGCGUAACAUUAGAUAGUUGGUGAGGUAACGGCUCACCAAGUCAACGAUGUUUAGGGGUUCUGAGAGGAAGGUCCCCCACACUGGUACUGAGACACGGACCAGACUCCUACGGGAGGCAGCAGUGAGGAAUAUUGGUCAAUGGGCGAGAGCCUGAACCAGCCAAGUCGCGUGAAGGAAGAAGGUUCUAUGGAUUGUAAACUUCUUUUGUAAGGGAAUAAAAAGAGUUACGUGUAACUUAUUGUAUGUACUUUACGAAUAAGGAUCGGCUAACUCCGUGCCAGCAGCCGCGGUAAA